rnacentral:lncRNA from 10 species
GACUGAUCCCAGGAGCAGGAAGGUCACACAGGAAGUGGCCUUGAGGUGGCGCCGGAGGCAGGAGGGGAGUGGAGGGUGGCGUUUCCACGGCACAGCGGUCAUGGGACAAAGUUGGACGGAAAUUGCACUUGAGGAUGCUCCCUGGCCAAGGCCAAGUCGCCUGGGGAGGAAGGACAGACUUCCUGGAUGGACACUGGGACGCCGAGCCCUGGGGAGGAGGGCAAGGGUGGAGGCUGUGGUGUUGCUGGGGCCGUGGGGUCUCUCCAGGCCGUGGGCCAGGACCUCUGACAAAGCCCGAACAGAGCAUGGUGUCAGGAGCGCGUGCUGGAUGGGGAAGCAGAGGGAUGUGGAAGCCCUGGCUGGGUGAAGGCUGUGGUGUCUGCCCGCCCCACGGCCCACAGAGUCACCGAUUACGGGAACAUCCAACGUACCAUCCUGAGCUUGUGGGGCCUAAGGGCCCGUUUCCACCACCUGCUGUGUGAUCUUGGGCUACCUACAUCGCCUCUCUGAGUCUUGUUUUCCUCAUUUGCAACUGAAGAUAAUAAUAGUAUCUAAAUCAAUUAUGAGGAUGAAAUGAGUUAACUCAUGUAAAGUGCUUAGCACAGAAUCCCUUAUAUCCUCCACAAAUGGGUCACUCUUGCCAGGGGACAAGCUCCCUGGGGACACAUCUUACCACCGUAAAGCUGUAGCAUUAUAAGAACACAAAAAGGCAGGCCAGCCUGACCAACAUGGAGAAGCCCUGCCUCUACUAAAAAUACAAAAUUAGCCAGGCUUGGUGGCGUAUGCCUGUAAUCCCAGCUACUCGGGAGGCCGAGGCAGGAGAAUUGCUUGAACCCGGGAGGCGGAAGUUGCGGUGAGCCAAGAUCACGCCAUUGCACUCCAGCCGGGGCAAUGAGCGAAACUCCGUCUCAAAAAAAAAGAAAAAUAAAAAAGCAACUUAAAACCCUAUCUGGCCUCUUUGCUGUCUUAAAAAACACAAACAUCAUGAAUGGGGCUAAGCAUCUGGUCCGGUGUC